GACGAACGCUGGCGGCGUGCCUAAUACAUGCAAGUUGAGCGCUGAAGGUUGGUACUUGUACCAACUGGAUGAGCAGCGAACGGGUGAGUAACGCGUGGGGAAUCUGCCUUUGAGCGGGGGACAAUAUUUGGAAACGAAUGCUAAUACCGCAUAAAAACUUUAAACACAAGUUUUAAGUUUGAAAGAUGCAAUUGCAUCACUCAAAGAUGAUCCCGCGUUGUAUUAGCUAGCUGGUGAGGUAAAGGCUCACCAAGGCGAUGAUACAUAGCCGACCUGAGAGGGUGAUCGGCCACAUUGGGACUGAGACACGGCCCAAACUCCUACGGGAGGCAGCAGUAGGGAAUCUUCGGCAAUGGACGAAAGUCUGACCGAGCAACGCCGCGUGAGUGAAGAAGGUUUUCGGAUCGUAAAACUCUGUUGGUAGAGAAGAACGUUGGUGAGAGUGGAAAGCUCAUCAAGUGACGGUAACUACCCAGAAAGGGACGGCUAACUACGUG
rnacentral:rRNA from 1 species